rnacentral:rRNA from 1 species
CACGUAGGGCGCAAGCGUUGUCCGGAAUUAUUGGGCGUAAAGAGCUCGUAGGCGGUCUGUUGCGUCCGCUGUGAAAACUCGGGGCUUAACCCCGAGCCUGCAGUGGAUACGGGCAGACUAGAGGUAGGUAGGGGAGAAUGGAAUUCCCGGUGUAGCGGUGAAAUGCGCAGAUAUCGGGAGGAACACCGGUGGCGAAGGCGGUUCUCUGGGCCUUAUCUGACGCUGAGGAGCGAAAGCGUGGGGAGCGAACAGG